AGAGUUUGAUCCUGGCUCAGGAUGAACGCUAGCGGCAGGCUUAACACAUGCAAGUCGAGGGGUAACGAUGGUGCUUGCACCAGUCGACGACCGGCGCACGGGUGAGUAAUGUAUAUGCAACCUACCUGUAACAGAGAGAUAGCCCGUGGAAACGCGGAUUAAUAUCUUAUAACAUCAAUUUUUCGCAUGAUAAAUUGAUUAAAGCCCCGGCGGUUACAGAUGGGCAUAUAUCUCAUUAGCUAGUUGGUAAGGUAACGGCUUACCAAGGCAACGAUGAGUAGGGGGCCUGAGAGGGUGAUCCCCCACACUGGUACUGAGACACGGACCAGACUCCUACGGGAGGCAGCAGUGAGGAAUAUUGGUCAAUGGAGGCAACUCUGAACCAGCCAUGCCGCGUGAAGGAUGACGGUCCUACGGAUUGUAAACUUCUUUUCUGCAAGAAGAAACCUGUCUACGUGUAGACAUCUGACGGUAUUGCAGGAAUAAGGAUCGGCUAACUCCGUGCCAGCAGCCGCGGUAAUACGGAGGAUCCAAGCGUUAUCCGGAUUUAUUGGGUUUAAAGGGUGCGUAGGCGGAAUUAUAAGUCAAAGGUGAAAGUUUGCAGCUUAACUGUAAAAGUGCCUUUGAUACUGUAGUUCUUGAGUAUAGUUGAGGUAGGCGGAAUAUGUAAUGUAGCGGCGAAAUGCACAGAUAUUACAUAGAACACCGAUUGCGAAGGCAGCUUACUAAGCUAUUACUGACGCUGAUGCACGAAAGCGUGGGGAGCGAACAGGAUUAGAUACCCUGGUAGUCCACGCCGUAAACGAUGAUAACUCGUUGUUGGCGAUACACAGUCAGCGACCAAGCGAAAGCGUUAAGUUAUCCACCUGGGGAGUACGAUCGCAAGGUUGAAACUCAAAGGAAUUGACGGGGGCCCGCACAAGCGGAGGAAUAUGUGGUUUAAUUCGAUGAUACGCGAGGAACCUUACCUGGGCUUAAAUGUAGAGUGCAUGAGACGGAAACGACUCUUUUCUUCGGAACUCUUUACAAGGUGCUGCAUGGUUGUCGUCAGCUCGUGCCGUGAGGUAUCGGGUUAAGUCCCAUAACGAGCGCAACCCCUAUUGUUAGUUGCCAUCGGGUCAAGCCGGGGACUCUAACAAAACUGCCCGUGUAAGCGGGAGGAAGGUGGGGAUGACGUCAAAUCAGCACGGCCCUUAUGUCCAGGGCUACACACGUAUUACAAUGGCACAUACAAAGGGCAGCUACCAGGCGACUGGAUGCUAAUCUCUAAAGUGUGUCUUAGUUCGGAUAGGAGUCUGCAAUUCGACUCCUUGAAGCAGGAUUCGCUAGUAAUCGCGCAUCAGCCAUGGCGCGGUGAAUACGUUCCCGGGCCUUGUACACACUGCCCGUCAAGCCAUGGAAGCCGGGGGUACCUGAAGUCUGUUACCGUAAGGAGCGGCCUAGGGUAAAACUGGUGACUGGGGCUAAGUCGUAACAAGGUAACC
rnacentral:rRNA from 1 species